AGACGUUCCACGGAAUGAACCCGAAGGCUCGAACCAUUGGCAGCUGUUGGGAAGCAGAGGUGCCCUGAGGCAAAAAGCAAGAACUACUCUAUGCAGCUAACAGGAGGGACUGUCUGAUUGCCCAUGCACAAAGCCAAUUACCACAGCAAUGACAAAGUAAGAGCCCCUAGCACAGAGCCUGAUUCCUAAAAUGUGCUCGAUAAUUGUUGGUUCCGUGGCUGAAUGAAUGGAUAAACAACUGGAUCCAUGAAUGAUGGAGCUAAGAGAGGAGUCCCACAUCAGGCUCCCUGCAUGGAGCCUCCUUCUCCCUCUGCCUGUG